CUCCGUGCCCAGGGCGCGGCCUUUCCCUCAGGGGGACACACCCCCAGCAGCCGGACAUGUCACAGCACCGUGACCCUGCCCGUCUCCCGGCCAGUGUCCUAGUGCCGCGAGAGCGCGGCCCCGCAACGCCCCGAGCCACCGCAGUAGCCCGCCCGCCCGCAGCCUGAGCCUUGUCCAACCCACUGCAACGCAGCAAAACGCCCAGCGCCAUUUCCUGCAGCGUCUGACACGCCAAGCCCUCACAGAGCCACUAUGUGACACUCCCCUUAGCAUCAUGUGCCGGUACCAUCUCAUCUCAGUCCCGACCACUGUGUAACACUGUGUCUCCUAACAGCCAGCGCACCUAAUGCCCAACAGCACCCUGCCCUGCAGCAGUCCAGCCAGCCAGCACCUCACAGCAUCACUAUGCAGCAUGACACUCAAUGCCACCCCAGUGCACUGCCUCCUUACCACAAUACCCUACAAGCACCACAGCAUAACGCCUCACCAACCAUAAUGCCUCUCCGUACCUCAACGUGGCCCAGCACCGCAACAAAAGCUCAUGUAGCACAACACCCUGCCCCACAAUGUGACAAAUUGCAGCACUUCAACACAAUGUCCCAGUUCUGUGAUAUCACAACACCACAGCAUGGCACUCUGCACCACUGCACAACAUGCUGCACCCAUAGGCGGCAGGGCUGGCAAUGCUGGGUGUGUGUGGGUGACCCCAUGUUGGCCUCCCCAGAUGAUGGAGAGAAGAAAGAGAUAAGACUGUGAGAGUCACUAGAUGUGUGGGCAGCAACAGCCUACUAGAUCCGGUAGUGGUGGACAGCCGAAGAGUGAAACAGCAUGGGAAAAAACGGGAGAGGGAUAAAACAGAAAAGGAGCCUGCAGGGAGGCAUGCUCACUUCUUCCUGCCAGUGACCAGACCAGUAAGAAUGUAUGCUGUCUCUUGACCUCUGCAGAUGGCCAGCAGGAAAGAAACUAAUUUCCUGUGGAAAGGGAACAUAUGGUCCUUGGGUUCUUUGUUUCAGUCCAGUCUCAGUGUUGCAGAAUAAUUAUGAGUCAAUGAGUCUCUUAUAAUCCCAAUAUCACCCCUUAAAUCUGUAAACCCA